rnacentral:rRNA from 1 species
GAGUUUGAUCCUGGCUCAGGACGAACGCUGGCGGCGUGCUUAACACAUGCAAGUCGAACGGUAAGGCCCCAGCUUGCUGGGGUACACGAGUGGCGAACGGGUGAGUAGCACGUGGGUGACCUGCCCCGCACUUCGGGAUAAGCCUGGGAAACUGGGUCUAAUACCGGAUAGGACCGCACCGUGAGGGUGUGGUGGAAAGUUUUUCGGUGUGGGAUGGGCCCGCGGCCUAUCAGCUUGUUGGUGGGGUAAUGGCCUACCAAGGCGGCGACGGGUAGCCGGCCUGAGAGGGUGGACGGCCACAUUGGGACUGAGACACGGCCCAGACUCCUACGGGAGGCAGCAGUGGGGAAUAUUGCACAAUGGGCGGAAGCCUGAUGCAGCGACGCCGCGUGGGGGAUGACGGCCUUCGGGUUGUAAACUCCUUUCACCAUCGACGAAGGUUUUCUGACGGUAGAUGGAGAAGAAGCACCGGCUAACUACGUGCCAGCAGCCGCGGUAAUACGUAGGGUGCGAGCGUUGUCCGGAAUUACUGGGCGUAAAGAGCUCGUAGGUGGUUUGUCGCGUCGUCUGUGAAAUUCCGGGGCUUAACUCCGGGCGUGCAGGCGAUACGGGCAUAACUUGAGUACUGUAGGGGAGACUGGAAUCCUGGUGUACCGGUGAAAUGCGCAGAUAUCAGGAGGAACACCGGUGGCGAAGGCGGGUCUCUGGGCAGUAACUGACGCUGAGGAGCGAAAGCAUGGGUAGCGAACAGGAUUAGAUACCCUGGUAGUCCAUGCCGUAAACGGUGGGCGCUAGGUGUAGGGGUCUUCCACGACUUCUGUGCCGUAGCUAACGCAUUAAGCGCCCCGCCUGGGGAGUACGGCCGCAAGGCUAAAACUCAAAGGAAUUGACGGGGGCCCGCACAAGCGGCGGAGCAUGUGGAUUAAUUCGAUGCAACGCGAAGAACCUUACCUGGGCUUGACAUAUACGGGACCGGGCCAGAGAUGGUCCUUCCCUUGUGGCUCGUAUACAGGUGGUGCAUGGUCGUCGUCAGCUCGUGUCGUGAGAUGUUGGGUUAAGUCCCGUAACGAGCGCAACCCUUGUCUUAUGUUGCCAGCACGUAAUGGUGGGGACUCGUGAGAAACUGCCGGGGUCAACUCGGAGGAAGGUGGGGAUGACGUCAAAUCAUCAUGCCCCUUAUGUCCAGGGCUUCACACAUGCUACAAUGGUCGGUACAGUGGGUUGCGAUGCCGUGAGGUGGAGCUAAUCCCUGAAAGCCGGUCUCAGUUCGGAUCGGGGUCUGCAACUCGACCCCGUGAAGUCGGAGUCGCUAGUAAUCGCAGAUCAGCAACGCUGCGGUGAAUACGUUCCCGGGCCUUGACACACCGCCCGUC